GAGUUUGAUCAUGGCUCAGAACGUACGCUGGCGGCACGCCUAACACAUGCAAGUCGAACGAAGUAGCAAUACUUAGUGGCGAACGGGUGAGUAAUAUGUGGGAAUCUACCUAACGGUCUGGAAUAACAUGAGGAAACUUGUGCUAAUACCGGAUAAGCCUUUACAGGGAAAGCUUUAUGCUCCGAUAGAUGAGCCCACACUUGAUUAGUUAGUUGGUGAGGUAAUAGCUCACCAAGACAAUGAUCAAUAGCUGAUUUGAGAGGAUGAUCAGCCACAUUGGGACUGAGACACGGCCCAAACUCCUACGGGAGGCAGCAGUGAGGAAUUUUGCACAAUGGGGGAAACCCUGAUGCAGCGAUGCCGCGUGAGUGAAGAAGGCCCUUGGGUUGUAAAGCUCUUUCGUCGGGGAAGAAAAUGACUGUACCCGAAUAAGAAGGUCCGGCUAACUUCGUGCCAGCAGCCGCGGUAAUACGAAGGGACCUAGCGUAGUUCGGAAUUACUGGGCUUAAAGAGCUCGUAGUUGGUUAGAAAAGUUGAUGGUGAAAUCCCAGAGCUUAACUUUGGAACUGCCAUCAAAACUUUUUAGCUAGAGUGUGAUAGAGGAAAGUAGAAUUUCUAGUGUAGAGGUGAAAUUCGUAGAUAUUAGAAAGAAUACCAAUUGCGAAGGCAGCUUUCUGGAUCAUUACUGACACUGAGGAGCGAAAGCAUGGGUAGCGAAGAGGAUUAGAUACCCUCGUAGUCCAUGCCGUAAACGAUGUGUGCUAGACGUUGGAAAUUUAUUUUUCAGUGUCGCAGCGAAAGCGUUAAGCACACCGCCUGGGGAGUACGGUCUCAAGACUAAAACUCAAAGGAAUUGACGGGGGCCCGCACAAGCGGUGGAACAUGUGGUUUAAUUCGAUGCAACGCGAAGAACCUUACCUGGUCUUGACAUCCUCGGACCGCUUCAGAGAUGAAGUUUCCUCUUCGGAGGCCGAGUGACAGGUGCUGCAUGGCUGUCCUCAGCUCGUGUCGUGAGAUGUUGGGUUAAGUCCCGCAACGAGCGCAACCCCUACCCUUAAUUGCCAUCGGGUUAUGCCGGGCACUUUAGGGGGACUGCCGGUGACAAGCCGGAGGAGGGUGGGGAUGACGUCAAGUCCUCAUGGCCUUUAUGACCAGGGCUACACACGUGUUACAAUGGGAGUUACAGAGGGAAUCUAAACCGCGAGGUCAUGCCAAUCCAAGAAAACCUUUCUCAGUUCGGAUCGCAGUCUGCAACUCGACUGCGUGAAGCUGGAAUCGCUAGUAAUCGCGGAUCAGCACGCCGCGGUGAAUACGUUCCCGGGCCUUGUACACACCGCCCGUCACACCAUGGGAGCCGACAAGGGCAGAAGUCGCCGAGCUAACCCAGCAC
rnacentral:rRNA from 1 species